CGAGAAAGGGGCGGAUAUGAUUAAGGAGGAUUGGUGCAAGGAUUUGCGGGUGGAGGAAGGUGACGAUACGCGGCAAACGUAGAAAGGGACUCCAUCAAAUUCUCGAAAGUUAUGUCGUGGAUACCACCGGACCUAGCAACUCUUUGCCAGCCACAUUCCACCGUGUCGACCUGCCAACCGCCGGCCUUUAUGUUUCUGGCUCUGAUCGCCCAUCUGUACGGCUAUUCCCAAGACCCUUUCCACAGUCCAUCUCGUGAUUUCGAUUCGUUUCGCCCGUGGAAAUUCGACGAGUGCGUGACAUCCAAUGCGAGGCGUUCGUCCAAGGACACGUUACGCGACAACAACAACAUAGAGAACGAUAGAAAAGGAUCGAGCUAUGGAUCGAUAGAACUGUCGAGGGAAAAGGAUAACGAAAGUAACGAAAGAGAGACGGUCGAACCAUCGAUCGUGAAUUUCGAAGGAAUUUGUAACGUCUAUUCUCCGCGAACUGAAAUCGUUCGUGAACCGUUGACUAGAAUUUACGAUGCAGUUCGAAUUGAUCAAGAAAGAAUUUAUAUUCCGAGAAUGUUGAAUGAUAUUGCAAACGCAAUGUCUCCAAUAUAUCUAUUAACGAGCGAGGAUCAAGAUGAUAAUUCAAAGGCGAUGGAAAGAAUUUUCGUCGAUAAUCGUGACGAAAAUGUUGAAACGAUUUCUUCGUACGAAGCUUGGAGAAGUGGUGCCAGUGAUUUUGAUCAGUACAAGAAUUUUAUGUAUCCUAAGAAGUUCGUGGACAGUCAGACUAGGAUCAAUUUUCCGGAAAUUUCCACGAAUUUUCCUAGAGAAGAGUACGAUUUUAUUAUCGUUGGAGCUGGAUCGGCUGGAUGCGUCCUCGCGAAUAGAUUGAGCGAAGUAAAACACUGGAAGAUAUUAUUAUUGGAGGCUGGCAUAGAAGAACCAUUGGUGGCUGAUGUUCCUGCCUUUGCCUCUAUGUUGCAAGCCAGCAAUAUCGAUUGGAUGUAUCGUACACAACCAGAGAGACACUCUUGUCGAUCAAGAAGGGAUAGAAGCUGUGCAUGGGCAAGGGGUAAAGUAAUGGGUGGAUCCAGUACUAUCAACUAUAUGAUUUAUAUACGUGGCAAUCCAAAUGACUACAACGAAUGGGCAGAGAAAGGGAAUUAUGGAUGGAGUUACGAAGAAGUUUUACCAUAUUUUCUCAAGUCUGAGAACAAUAAGGAUCGAGAGAUCGUAAAAGAAAACCCAUAUUAUCACAACGAAGGCGGUUAUCAAUCGGUGGAACGAUUUCCAUACACUGAUAUCAACGCGAAAAUUCUUUUGAACGCGUGGCAGGAACUCGGUCACGUAACCGUGGAUGCAAACGCAGGGACGCAAUUGGGAGUAAUGAAAUUGCAAAUGACUUCCCUCCAUGGAAAGCGCGAAAGUGUCAAUAGCGCGUAUAUCAGACCUAUCAGACACAAACGAAAGAAUCUCACGAUCGAGACACAGGCUCACGUCACUAGAUUACUCACAGAUCCAACCACGAAACGCGUGACAGGUGUCGAUUACACGUGUACAUCGACAGGAUUGAGUAAAUCCGUUCUGGCUAGGAAAGAGGUAAUUCUUUCAGCCGGCGCGAUUAACUCGCCCAAAAUUUUAAUGUUGUCCGGCAUAGGGCCGGCCGAUGAAUUAAAAAAACAUGGAAUUCCAGUGAUCAGCGACUUACCAGUUGGAAGGAAUCUUCAGGAUCACGUAACAAUGGACGGUCUGGUGAUCGCGUUGAACAGUACCUCGACGACGAAAGACAACCGUAUGAAGAAAAAUGACAUCUGCUAUUACGAGAAGACUCAGAUGGGGCCACUGUCUGCCACUGGAACACUCGUAUGCGGAGCGUUUCUUCAAACUGCGUUCGAACAUGAACAUGGCUUGCCAGAUAUUCAAUACGCCUUCGAUGCUAGCAAUCAGAUGGAUUUUUUGAACGAUCCAGCAGAGUUUGGGGAGACUAGGGUCGAGCCUUUGUCUUAUUACGACGCCAUCAAUAUUAGACCUAUCUUACUGUCGCCUAGAAGCAAAGGGUUCUUAUUGUUGAACGAUACAGAUCCUUUGUGGGGGCCACCAUCUAUCUAUCCUGCGUACUUCACUGCCUAUCCCGAUGCAGACGUGAUGGUGGAGGGGAUAGAGACUGCUUUGAAGUUGUUCCAUACCACGUGGUUUCGGGAGUAUGGGUUUCGACUUAUCGACACGCCUCUGCCAUCUUGCAAACGUUUCAUUUUUGGCACGAGGGAGUAUUGGAAGUGCGCGAUGAUGGAGUACACGGCGACGAUCUAUCAUCCCGUAGGCACGUGCAAAAUGGGUCCAGAUUGGGAUUCCGAAGCUGUGGUCGAUCCCGAGUUGAGGGUUUACGGAGUGGCCGGUUUGAGGGUCGUGGACGCUUCGAUUAUGCCUAAAAUCGUUAGAGGAAACACGAAUGCGCCUACCAUUAUGAUCGCGGAAAAGGCUAGCGAUAUGAUCAAGGAUGAAUGGUUGUAUGCGUGGAAGUAAAAGUUUGUUUGCGAUUAUAUCGAAGACGAGAACUUUGGACAGUAACGAUGUAAUAAAUAAAAAGUUGGUAUCGAUCCAACUGAUUUUUAAUGUGUUUUCGAUAUGCAGCACACGAUAGCAUUCAGACACCAUAUCAUGGAACAGGAAUGAAAACGCUUGACUGAGGCGAUUUCAAAAUCAUCUGGGGGAAAGUGAAAUGUUUCUUAUAUUCGAAAUAUAACGUAUCGACGAUCAAGAGGAAUAAGGGAUAUUAAAAUGGAGAGAAAGAGAGAGAGAAAGAAAAAAAGAAAAUUUGAUUGGUUUAUGGCCAAAGUGAAAAAUUAAUGAAAGUGAAAGUGGAUAAAAUGAGACUUGAUUUCAAAAAUAGAUUGGACAUUUUUUGAAGAAGAAAUAUUUUUAAUUUUUAAUUUUAAUUUGUAA